rnacentral:rRNA from 1 species
GACGAACGCUGGCGGCGUGCUUAACACAUGCAAGUCGAACGGAAAGGCCCUGCUUGCAGGGUACUCGAGUGGCGAACGGGUGAGUAACACGUGGGUGAUCUGCCCUUCACUUCGGGAUAAGCCUGGGAAACUGGGUCUAAUACCGGAUAGGAGCAAUUUCCAGUGUGAUGGUUGGAAAGUUUUUUCGGUGUUGGAUGAGCUCGCGGCCUAUCAGCUUGUUGGUGGGGUAAUGGCCUACCAAGGCGGCGGCGGGUAGCCGGCCUGAGAGGGUGGACGGCCACAAUGGGACUGAGAUACGGCCCAGACGCCUACGGGAGGCAGCAGUGGGGAAUAUUGCACAAUGGGCGCAAGCCUGAUGCAGCGACGCCGCGUGGGGGAUGACGGGCUUCGGGUUGUAAACUCCGUUCGCUAGGGACGAAGCUUUUUGUGACGGUACCUAGAUAAGAAGCACCGGCUAACUACGUG